rnacentral:rRNA from 1 species
UACGUAGGCAGCAAGCGUUGUUCGGAAUUACUGGGCGUAAAGAGUGUGUAGGCGGUUUUCUAAGUUUGGUGUGAAAUCUCCCGGCUUAACUGGGAGGGUGCGCCGAAAACUGGAAGGCUUGAGUGCCGGAGAGGAUAGCGGAAUUCCUGGUGUAGCGGUGAAAUGCGCAGAUAUCAGGAAGAACACCCGUGGCGAAGGCGGCUCUCUGGGACGGUACUGACGCUGAGACGCGAAAGCGUGGGGAGCGAACAGG